GGAAGUAAAGUCGUAACAAGGUCUCCGUUGGUGAACCAGCGGAGGGAUCAUUACCGAGUGCAAACUCAUAACCCUUUGUGAACCUAUAUCUGUUGCUUCGGCGGCUCGCUCUCGGGCGAGCCCGCCGGUAAUAUCAGUAUCUCUGUUUGAACCCGACGAUACUUCUGAGUGUUCUUAGCGAACAGUUAAAACUUUUAACAACGGAUCUCUCGGCUCUA
rnacentral:misc_RNA from 1 species